ACAAUGAAGAGUUUGAUCCUGGCUCAGGAUGAACGCUAGCUACAGGCUUAACACAUGCAAGUCGAGGGGCAGCAUGGUCUUAGCUUGCUAAGGCCGAUGGCGACCGGCGCACGGGUGAGUAACACGUAUCCAACCUGCCGUCUACUCUUGGACAGCCUUCUGAAAGGAAGAUUAAUACAAGAUGGCAUCAUGAGU
rnacentral:rRNA from 1 species